rnacentral:rRNA from 1 species
ACUCCUGCGGGAGGCAGCAGUGAGGAAUAUUGGACAAUGGGUGGAAGCCUGAUCCAGCCAUCCCGCGUGCAGGAAGACGGCCCUAUGGGUUGUAAACUGCUUUUAUCUGGGGAUAAACCUACUUACGUGUAAGUAGCUGAAGGUACCAGAAGAAUAAGCACCGGCUAACUCCGUGCCAGCAGCCGCGGUAAUACGGAGGGUGCAAGCGUUAUCCGGAUUUAUUGGGUUUAAAGGGUCCGUAGGCGGACUGAUAAGUCAGUGGUGAAAUCCGACAGCUUAACUGUCGAACUGCCAUUGAUACUGUUAGUCUUGAGUAAGGUUGAAGUGGCUGGAAUAAGUAGUGUAGCGGUGAAAUGCAUAGAUAUUACUUAGAACACCAAUUGCGAAGGCAGGUCACUAAGUCUUAACUGACGCUGAUGGACGAAAGCGUGGGGAGCGAACAGGAUUAGAAACCCUAGUAGUCCCA